UUUAUGUUAAAAAUUAUACAUUAUGUUAAAAAAUUAUGACUACACUUGCACAGAGGAAGGAUAAUACAAAUCUCUUAAUAUUUCUAACGCAGCUAUUAUUCAUUGAGUGGUUAGUAUGGUCAGGCACUGUAGUAAGUGUUAAGUGCUUCAUAAGCAUAAUUUCCAUCUGAAAGUAAUAAGAAUGAUCAUUCUCCUUUUACAGAUGAAGAACCUAAGGCUCCAGUUAAGUGACUUGUCCAGUGCCACACAGAUCCACAGUUCUGCAUCUGAAGUCCCAGUCUGCCUGAGAAUAAUGGCAACAUCUAGGGUGGGAUAAACUUCCUCCACAUGACCAGAUGAGUGGAGUGAGAUGAGGAGCAAGAUUGCCAGGGAGAACUCCUGCCUUGCCAUUCCAGCCCAGUUACUUGGAGGAAAGAGUGCCUCUCCUGUCUUCCAGUGGCUGCAAAUAAAAUCCUCUAUGACUGGAUUGAUUUGACUUAUGUGCUUAUGGCUUAUGUGAUGUCAACCACUGUGGGUAAAGGAACGGGACAUUCUGAUUGACCAGCCCAAACUCUUGUGGCCACCAACACCUGUGGCAUCGUUGGAGAACAGAGUCCAUACAUUUUCCAGCCCCGUCAGAGCCAGAUGUCUUAGAGAGGAGAUCACUCUUCAAAGGUAUGAGCCAAAAGAUGUAGAGAAAAACAGUACAAGGUUGCCACAAGGAGGAUGGAAAAAAUAUUCUUUAAGACCCUUUCAGGAGCAUACUCAGAAAAGAUUAUUUUUAUGGAAAAAGCCCAGUUGUCUGCACAUAGUAGUCCAGAAAGAGCUACUUUUCAUUUCUCCCAGCCCUUGAGAUCACCACGGAUGGGCAGCUGCUAGUAGUAAGGACUUGGUGAGUGCUCAGAACACUACAGUGGGCAGUGGGAUGCAGGAAGGAGGAGUGUGUUUGGGAACUUCAUGGAAUGGGC
rnacentral:lncRNA from 1 species